rnacentral:rRNA from 1 species
CUACGGGCUGCUCCAGUGAGGAAUAUUGCACAAUGGAGGAAACUCUGAUGCAGCAACGCCGCGUGGAGGAUGACGCAUUUCGGUGUGUAAACUCCUUUUAUAUGUCAAGAAAAUGACGGUAGCAUAUGAAUAAGCGCCGGCUAACUCCGUGCCAGCAGCCGCGGUAAUACGGAGGGUGCAAGCGUUACUCGGAAUCACUGGGCGUAAAGGACGCGUAGGCGGGUUGGAAAGUCAGGUGUGAAAUCCUACAGCUUAACUGUAGAACUGCACUUGAAACUUCUAAUCUAGAGUAUGGGAGGGGGAGAUGGAAUUAGUGGUGUAGGGGUAAAAUCCGUAGAUAUCACUAGGAAUACCUAAAGCGAAGGCGAUCUCCUGGAACAUUACUGACGCUAAGGCGUGAAAGCGUGGGGAGCAAACAGGAUUAGAUACCCCCGUAGUC